rnacentral:rRNA from 1 species
UACUCUCGUGGUGAAUCAUCGAAUCUUUGAACGCACUUUGCACUGUCUGGAAUCCCAGACAGUAUACCUGUUUGAGUAUUGUUUCAAAAUCACUUUAUCGUUUAGGUACAUAUACAUGUGAAUUUGGGGUAUAAUGGUUGCAUAAACCAUUUUCCUUUAAACAAAACUAAUCGUCCUACUAGAGCAGUCCGAAAGGUCACUCUAAUAGUUACGAUAUCCAUUGAAAAGAUGAAUAUGAAAAGUAUCGUCUUGAAUUACAAUCUCAAAUCAGAUAAGAUUACCCGCUGAACUUAAGCAUAUCAAUAAGCGGAGG